UUAGUCUAAAGAAGGCUUUUCAAUUGCACUGUACAAAUGAACAGUGUUUUGAACCACAUUUCAGUUUAUUUACAAGAUUGCCACUCGGAUGCUUUUAACCACCUUUCACUUAAUUUACAAAAUUGCCACUCAGGCUUAAAAACCUAUUUUCAGCCGUUGGCUGCAUUUGACGUUUGACUCGGUGACGGAGAGGGGAGAGGGACAUCACGCCUGACAAAUUGGAGAGAGACAAUCGCUCCCAUUUUUGACUCGGAGACAGCUGGGUGUGCCUCUGGCGAGCGGAGAGAGGGGGGAUAGAGCGACUACAGAGGAGGGAGACACAGAGCCUGACAUAUUGGAGAGAGAUGGGAGCUAUGGGUUUGGACUGAGUGAGAGAGAUAUUUGGGAACGUGCUCUGCCAGGCUCUCUCUGACGCUAAUCUUGAUGCACACGUGUUGAUGAUCGUGGGAAGGGAAGAACGAUGGUCAAGCUGGCCUUUUCCAUUUCCUUCUCAAACCCUCAUUGCCUUCUUCCGUCUCGCAGACCCUGCGAGAACCACGGUCUCGCCUCCAUCCUAUCCUCCAGCCGCCGCUGUCUCCCUUCUCUAGGUAGGGUGUUGUGCGUGUGCGGUCAUGCUUGAUGAUCGUGGAAGCCAGCGAUUCAGCUACGACAUAGCCUCGACUCUGCUUCCAUCUCCAUUUUCUCUCCUCGCCUUCUCUCUCAGAAAUCACCAACGAGCUUAAAAACCACCAAGCCGUUAGAAAUCUCUUCGAUUCUCUCUCAGAAACUACGAAGCACAACGACCUCUUGCUGAAAAACCUUGAAUUUAGUCCCACUUCGAAGGAAGUUUUAAGCCCAUAAAAGCCUUGGUUUCCUGUUUAUUUUGGGGGUUUACACUAAAAUUGAGGAAGCAUAUAUGAACGCAAAGGCUCGAGGAUGUACGACAACUUGGAUAAGAUAGGAUUGUUCUUUUUGGAAGCUUCUUUCCAGCCUUGAGCUUCUUCUUGCCUGGUGCCUUCUCAUUGAAUAUUGGAGCAUUAAACCACAGGU